AACAAUGUCUUUUACAGGUGCCCAGAGUCACGGUUCGUUCCUUUCCAUGGUCGUUACGUAUUGUCUUUGACGAUUGUCGUGCUCGCGGCUACCUCAGAGUAAGCAGCUUUUGUUUCGGCAGAAGCAGUUUUAACAGCC
rnacentral:snoRNA from 1 species